UUUGUGCUCUUUCGGAAAAACCGGAGAGAAGACCGUCUAGACAAGGUAUUGAGAUGGAAGAGGAACCUUAUGUAGCUUUGUUGGUGACCCACAGCACUUUGAACGGAUUCUAGUGCGGUGAGAACCACAAACUCAAUGCUCUGUGAGGCUCGCUUGAUCUACAGGUCUACAGGGGGCCUCUGCUUGUGUUCUGGCCUGUGAUUCUCCUUCCUGUGACCAAGAAUUUUAACAGAACAGCAUAAAAUGGAAGCACAAAAGACAGCCAAAGAGGUGAAGAGGGAUGGCCCAAUUCUACCAAGAAUGCAAACAAAGGAGACACCACCAAAAAACCUGGGCCCUGAGCUGCUAAUAAGUAGCUGAGGACUCACUGCAAAGAGAGGGGAGUUCAGACCGAAGUGCUGACUCACCACACUGGUGUGGAUUUGAAGUCACGAGUACGUUGUCAGCAUAUAACGCACCUGGCCAAAGGCUGGGGGCUGCGGUGCCUUGUUGGGACCUCCAGGAAAACUGUGGACAGAAAGGAAGACCACCUAGGUUCACAGAUGGAGAGGAAUUGUGUCUCACGAUUCUCAGGAAUUGUGUCCAGACGUACAGGAUGUUUUCAUCACUCCGAAAAGAAACCCCGCACCUAUUAUCAGUCACUCUCCAGCCCCUGCCCUCAGCCCUAGCCUUUUAUAACCAUGCUGGAAAACCGUCUGGCAGUGUCUGCUGAAGCUACUCACACCCAUACUUUAUGACGCAGCAACUGAACGCCCGGGAAUCCAGGUUGACAGACACUCUACCAUCACUGAGCUGACUCACCGGGAACCCAGGACCUCCAGGACCCCUGUAACAAGAGAAGAGAAGGCAUGGAGGGAGGACACGGGCUCCUGAAUGCUUCAGCUCACUAGUGAUAUCACCUCAUUUCUGCUCUCAGCGCCUUUGCCAGAACCAGUCACCUGGCCUCCAUCUAACCAACAGGGAGGCUGGGAAAUGAGGAAGAACCAUUUGAUUAUUAUCAGUGAACAAUAAAUAUCUAAAUGUC